rnacentral:rRNA from 1 species
UACGUAGGGGGCUAGCGUUGUUCGGAAUUACUGGGCGUAAAGCGCACGCAGGCGGAUAUUUAAGUCAGGGGUGAAAUCCCAGAGCUCAACUCUGGAACUGCCUUUGAUACUGGGUAUCUCGAGUAUGGAAGAGGUGAGUGGAAUUCCGAGUGUAGAGGUGAAAUUCGUAGAUAUUCGGAGGAACACCAGUGGCGAAGGCGGCUCACUGGUCCAUUACUGACGCUGAGGUGCGAAAGCGUGGGGAGCAAACAGG